UCAGGACGAACGCUGGCGGCGUGCUUAACACAUGCAAGUCGAACGGGAAGGCCCUGCUUUUGUGGGGUGCUCGAGUGGCGAACGGGUGAGUAACACGUGAGUWACCUGCCCUUGACUUUGGGAUAACUUCAGGAAACUGGGGCUAAUACCGGAUAGGAGCUCCUGCUGCAUGGUGGGGGUUGGAAAGUUUCGGCGGUUGGGGAUGGACUCGCGGCUUAUCAGCUUGUUGGUGGGGUAGUGGCUUACCAAGGCUUUGACGGGUAGCCGGCCUGAGAGGGUGACCGGCCACAUUGGGACUGAGAUACGGCCCAGACUCCUACGGGAGGCAGCAGUGGGGAAUAUUGCACAAUGGGCGGAASCUGAUGCAGCAACGCCGCGUGCGGGAUGACGGCCUUCGGGUUGUAAACCGCUUUCGCCUGUGACGAAGCGUGAGUUACGGUAAUGGGUAAAGAAGCACCGGCUAACUACGUGCCAGCAGCCGCGGUGAUACGUAGGGUGCGAGCGUUGUCCGGAUUUAUUGGGCGUAAAGGGCUCGUAGGUGGUUGAUCGCGUCGGAAGUGUAAUCUCGGGGCUUAACCCUGAGCGUGCUUUCGAUACGGGUUGACUUGAGGAAGGUAGGGGAGAAUGGAAUUCCUGGUGGAGCGGUGGAAUGCGCAGAUAUCAGGAGGAACACCAGUGGCGAAGGCGGUUCUCUGGGCCUUUCCUGACGCUGAGGAGCGAAAGCGUGGGGAGCGAACAGGCUUAGAUACCCUGGUAGUCCACGCUGUAAACGGUGGGUACUAGGUGUGGGGUCCAUUCCACGGGUUCCGUGCCGUAGCUAACGCUUUAAGUACCCCGCCUGGGGAGUACGGCCGCAAGGCUAAAACUCAAAGGAAUUGACGGGGCCCCGCACAAGCGGCGGAGCAUGCGGAUUAAUUCGAUGCAACGCGUAGAACCUUACCUGGGUUUGACAUGGAUCGGGAGUGCUCAGAGAUGGGUGUGCCUCUUUUGGGGUCGGUUCACAGGUGGUGCAUGGCUGUCGUCAGCUCGUGUCGUGAGAUGUUGGGUUAAGUCCCGCAACGAGCGCAACCCUUGUUCACUGUUGCCAGCACGUUAUGGUGGGGACUCAGUGGAGACCGCCGGGGUCAACUCGGAGGAAGGUGGGGAUGACGUCAAGUCAUCAUGCCCCUUAUGUCCAGGGCUUCACGCAUGCUACAAUGGCUGGUACAGAGAGUGGCGAGCCUGUGAGGGUGAGCGAAUCUCGGAAAGCCGGUCUCAGUUCGGAUUGGGGUCUGCAACUCGACCUCAUGAAGUCGGAGUCGCUAGUAAUCGCAGAUCAGCAACGCUGCGGUGAAUACGCUCCCGGGGCUUGUACACACCGCCCGUCA
rnacentral:rRNA from 1 species